GAGGACGCACGCGGCCAGCCGGGAGGCGCGCGCUUUCCCCUCCCCCGCGGCCCGGAGCGCGAGCCGCCGUGACGUCAGGGGCCGCCCGCCUGCCCCGCGCUCCAGCGGGCAGAGCGCGUGCGGCCGCCGAGCACAUGGGCCCGCGGCCCGGGCGGACUCGGGGCGGCGGGGCCCGGGGGAACGGCGAGGGGCCGCGAGCGAGGAUGAGUCCCGGCACGCCCCCGCCCCGGACCCCCUCGAGUGGAUUUCCACGCGGAAAGGAUGUUGGCGGUCCCGGUGACCUGCGGAGACACGGUUGGAGCCACCUUUCAAAUCUUGUUACACCUGGGAUUUUGGUGCCUUUAAUCUGAGAAAAAGUACACAUCCAUUCAGUAAUCCAAAAGGACUUGAAACUCUUCUUCUCUGAACUAAAGCUAGAGUAUCGUGGGAUUUAAAGAAUCAAGGUAAGAAAUUUUUCUCCUCCCGAGCCUUUUGGAACCAAUGAUGGCCACUGGAAUUGGUGAUCUCUUGCAACACAACUUGGGGUGUCGUUUCUGACCACGUACUGUAAGCCCACCCUGGUACACAAAACCCAGUUCUCAGGGUUUGUUCACCUGGACCUAUUGCCUGGGGGCAAUCCCUCUGUCCCCAGCUGGGAAAGGGGUUCACAGUCUCCUGGUGGAUACCCCACACUUUUCCUUCUGGCGAAAGGUGAAGAAGCUCAGGCCACCCUGCUGAGGUGUAUGGAGCCGGCACCAGGGAGAGACUGGAUACGUUUGGUGGGGUUAUGUGAUCAGGUCAGCAGAUCUUCGUGGGUAUCCAGAUGUAAUCUCUUCCUCUCUCCCUGCCUUCUUGAAUUGCCUGUGCCAGCUUCCAAGUCUCAGGCUGCCUGUGGGGCGAGGGUAAGAGGUUAAAACUGAUGCCUUCAGGCAAACCUCGUUUUCCUGGUUUUGCUCCUCACCUCACUCAGCCUCCCCAAGCCUUGAUUUCCUCAUUUAUAAAAUCAGCAUCCUAUUAGUGCCCCGGGAGGAUGUAGGUGCUGAGUGAUUUGGGGAGAUAA
rnacentral:lncRNA from 1 species